AACCUUGGCAACUUUAAGACUUGUGGACUUCAACUCCCAGGAUUCCUCAGCCAGCUUUGCUGGGAGUUGAAGUCCACAAGUCUAGGCAGGAAGGUAGGCAGGCAGAAAGAGCUGCUCACUGAUGAGCUUGAUUGCAGGCAGGGAGAUUCAGUUGCUUGCAUUGCAUAAUGGAUUGCAGGUAUUACAGCGUUGCGACCAGCGGCUAAGACCAACUCUUUAUUCAACUGGCUAGUUGGCUAAAGCAUGGCAAGGAAUCCUGCCUUGCUCUGUCAAAACCAGAUGAGCAAUAUUUUCUCAUCAAUCUGAUCUCAGCAUGUGCGGCCUCUUCAUAAUCCACCUUGGCAAAGUUGGUGUACCUGCUUUUUUUCCUUAGGACUCUGUGGCUGCUACAAUUAAUCCAGUUGCAGCAAUAUAUUUAUGGCACCAAGACACAGGAGUAUGAAUAAAUAAAUCAACUCCUCAACUAUGAACACAUUGCAGAUGAAUAAAUGGCCUUGAAGAAAUGCCGUCUAUAUCCUUGAAA